rnacentral:hammerhead_ribozyme from 1 species
AUCCAACUAACGAGUCUCGAAUAGGACGAAAUGUGCAUUUUGGAU